rnacentral:rRNA from 1 species
AGAAGACAUGAAGAGCACACGGGGGAUGCCUUGGCAUUGCGUGCCGAAGAAGGACGUGGCAUCGCGACGAUAUGCGUAGGGGAGCGGCGAGCACGCGAUAAUCCUACGAUUUCCGAAUGGGGCAACCCGCUGAAAAGCACCACAUUGUGGAGGGAACCGGGUCAACUGAAACAUCUCAUGUAACCCGAGGAAGAGAGAACGACGCCCGUAGUAGUGGCGAACGAACCGGGCUGGAGCCCAAACUAUCACUGUGUCAAGGGGUCAGCCGUUGUAGUGAUGGGGUUGUAGGGCCGAUGGGCGAGUCUGACUGCUCGCAACGAUAAACAAGAUGCACUGUCAAAGCUUUUGGAAAAUGCUGCCAGAGAACGUGAUAGCCGUGUAGCAGAUGCGUCUGGUCAUCGUCAUUGGUACCUGAGUAGGGCCAGGCACGAAGAACCUGGUCUGAAUCUAGGGGGACCACCCUCUAAGGCAAGAUACACGCAGUGACCGAUAGCGCAUAGUACCGUGAGGGAACGGUGAAAAGAACCCCGGCGAGGGGAGUGAAAUAGAACCUGAAACCGUGUGCUUCCAUGCAGUCGAAGGGCUAGGCCACUUUGUGGCAGGCCUAACGGCGUGCCUUUUGGAGUAUGAUCCGGCGAGUUACCCUCUGUGGCAGGUUAAGGUAGUCAUAACCGGAGCCAUAGUGAAAGCGAGCCUGAAUAGGGCGUUUGUCGCAGGGGGUAGGCCCGAAACCGCGUGAGCUACCCAUGGUCAGGCUGAAGCGUCCCUAACAGGACGUGGAGGGCCGAACCGGUGUCUGUUGCAAAAGGCUCGGAUGAACUGUGGGUAGGGGUGAAAUGCCAAUCGAACGCGGAGAUAGCUGGUUCUCCCCGAAAUGCAUUGAGGUGCAGCCGUGGGCAGACGCUAGCGGAGGUAGAGCACUGUUGUUGUGCGGGGGCUUCACCGCUUACCAAGCGACGGCAAACUCCGAAUGCCGCUAUGCGUACACCACGAGUGAGACGGCGCGUGCCAACAUGCGUCGUCGAGAGGGAAACAACCCAGACCUGCUGCUAAGGUCCCGAAGUUGAUGCUGAGUGGGAAAGGUUGUGUGAUCGCAGAGACAACCAGGAGGUUGGCUUAGAAGCAGCCACCCUUAAAAGAGUGCGUAACAGCUCACUGGUCAAGUGGUCGCGCGCCGACGCUGUAACGGGGCAAAGCAUCACACCGAAGCACAGGAUAGCAAUUGCUAUGGUAGGGGAGCGUUGUAUUGGCGUAGAAGCGUUAGCGUAAGCCGACGUGGAGCUAAUAGAAGUGCGAAUGCCGGAAUGAGUAACAGAGAAGGGGGAUGAGAACCCCCCCCACCGAAAGCCUAAGGUUUCCGCCGCAAGGGUGAUCCGCGGCGGGUUAGUCGGGCCUAAGGCGUAGGCGAAAGCCGAAGCCGAUGGACAACAGGUUCAUAUUCCUGUACCACAUCAUACCGUUUGACUGACGUGGGAUGCUGAGGGGCAGCCGCCGCGGCGAGACGAGCGCCGUCUAAGCUGGUAGGGAGCAAUGAGAGGCAAAUCCCUCAUUGCAGUGACCGAGAAGCGAUGGGGAGCUUAUAGUCUUCGGGUUAUGAGCAACGGUGGUGCGCCUGUGCAGUCAAGAAAUGCCCGCUAGGGAGGUAUGUAUGUGACCGUACCGCAAUCCGACACAGGUAGGUAGGUUGAGGAAACUAAGGUGGACGAGUGAUCCCUGGUUAAGGAACUCGGCAAAUUGACCCCGUACCUUCGGAAGAAGGGGUGCUGCGAACGUGUGAAACCACUUGCUGGUGGAGCACGGGGCAGCCGCAGGACCAGGCCCAGGCGACUGGAUAACAGAACCACAGCUCCCUGCUUAAGCCGUAAGGCGACGUAUAGGGGGUGAUGCCUGCCCAGUGCUGGAAGGUUAAGGGGAGGUGUGCAAGCACUGAACCGAAGCCCCAGUGAACGGCGGCUGUAACUAUAACAGUCCUAAGGUAGCGAAAUUCCUUGUCGGGUAAGUUCCGACCCGCACGAAAGGCAUCACGAUCUGGGCACUGUCUCGACCAGGGGCUCGGUGAAAUUGCAGGGGCCGUGAAGAUGCGGCCAACGCGUAGCAGGACAAAAAGACCCCGUGGAGCUUUACUACAACUUGCCAUCGGAUAAGUGUAUUGCAUGCGUAGGAUAGGUGGGAGGCUGGGAACUUCGGCUUGCGGGCCGGGGGGAGCCAACGGUGAAAUACCACUCUUGCCUUACACUCAUCCUCACCCGCUGCGGCGGGGACGGUGGCUGGUGGGUAGUUUGACUGGGGCGGUCGCCUCCCAAAAGGUAACGGAGGCGCGCAACGGUGCCCUCAGGUGGGAUGGCAAUCCACCGUGGAGUGUAACGGCAGAAGGGCGCUUGACUGCAAGACCAACACGUCGCGCAGGGACGAAAGUCGGCCGUAGUGAUCCCACAGUACCGCGUGGAAGGGCUGUGGCUUAACGGAUAAAAGCUACCCCGGGGAUAACAGGCUCAGACCUCCCAAGAGUUCAUAUCGACGGAGGAGCGUGGCACCUCGAUGUCGGCUCGUCGCAUCCUGGGGCUGGAGUAGGUCCCAAGGGUUGGGCUGUUCGCCCAUUAAAGCGGCACGCGAGCUGGGUUCAGAACGUCGUGAGACAGUUCGGUCUCUAUCCGCUAUGAGCGUUUAGAGCAUUGAGGGGGGCUGGCCCUAGUACGAGAGGACCGGGCUGGACGAACCGCUAGUGGAGGAGUUGUGGGACGACCUGCAGGCUCCGUAGCUAUGUUCGGAAACACAAACCGCUGAAAGCAUCUAAGUGGGAAGUGUGCCUCAAGAUAAAUGCUCUCACUGUUUUAGACAGGUAAGACUCCCAGCAGACUACUGGGUUAAGCGGACUGCGCUGUAAGCAUCGUGAGAUGUUCAGGCGACAGUUGCGCACAGUCGAGGGCUUC